rnacentral:rRNA from 1 species
GACGAACGCUGGCGGCGUGCCUAAUACAUGCAAGUUGAGCGCUGAAGGUUGGUACUUGUACCGACUGGAUGAGCAGCGAACGGGUGAGUAACGCGUGGGGAAUCUGCCUUUGAGCGGGGGACAACAUUUGGAAACGAAUGCUAAUACCGCAUAAAAACUUUAAACACAAGUUUUAAGUUUGAAAGAUGCAAUUGCAUCACUCAAAGAUGAUCUCGCGUUGUAUUAGCUAGUUGGUGAGGUAAAGGCUCACCAAGGCGAUGAUACAUAGCCGACCUGAGAGGGUGAUCGGCCACAUUGGGACUGGGACACGGCCCAAACUCCUAAGGGAGGCAGCAGUAGGGAAUCUUCGGCAAUGGAGGGAAGUCUGACCGAGCAACGCCGCGGGAGUGAAGAAGGGUGUCGGAUCGUAAAACUCGGUUGGUAGAGAAGAACGUUGGUGAGAGUGGAAAGCUCAUCAAGUGACGGUAACUACCCAGAAAGGGACGGCUAACUACGUG